ACAAAAAUUAGGAAGCUUUGGAAUUAAAAUGUAAUGAUUGUUAAUGCAUUUUGUUUUUAUAUUUUUAGUUCACACAAAUUGGUCACUUUUACUCACUUGUUCAUUAUUCUCUUAUACAAAAAUUAGGAAGCUGUUCUAGAUGACACAAGAAGUUAAUAAUUGAAAAAUGUGUCAGGACAACAUACAACAAACUCCUCGUCCGGUAGAUGUAGUAGUGAAAGAAGAACAAGAAACUAUCGAUAAUUGUUUUCAUAGCACUCUCGAUGAUGAAGAAUGGUGUUUGGAAAAUCUAAAUGCGAUAAUUGAAGU